GAACAAAUGGUAGAGUUGGUUACCGCAACGUCUGUCUAACACACAGAUAUAGUCCCCAGUUCGAAUCUGGGUUGGUUCC